ensembl:snoRNA SNORA65 small nucleolar RNA, H/ACA box 65
CCCGCCACUUUGCCAGUCUGUCUGAGUGACUGAGUGUAGUCCAGUGGAGGCAGAGAUGGACCCAGUUCUAGGAAACAGGGCUGCCCUGGUGGUGGGCAACUUUGUGCCGAAAGUCCUGGAACAAUG